rnacentral:lncRNA from 1 species
CGAACGGGCCGGAGGUGGAGGGGCUGCUCCCAGGACAGCGCGGAAGGGGACAAGGAGCCAUCCCCGGCCUGGGGGAGAGGAAGAUGAAGGUCCUGCUGAUGGUGGCAGUGCUGUUUGCCUGCAGUGUGUUUGCAGCUCAUGGGAAGCACCCGCACACGUUUGCACCGGGACUCGAGGGGAGCACCGUAGGAAAUGUGACCCACGGCUGCACCUCGGGAUGGGGCACAUCGAGGGCUUCAAUGGACCGGUGCUGCCGGCUCCGUGCCUGCUGCUACGCCAGGCUGGCGGCACGGCGCUGCCGCGUGGGACCCGUCCAGCCCUUCUCUGUGCCCCGGGCAGGAGUGCCCACCUGCAGGACCGGGACCUGGUGCCAGAGGGGCGCAUGCCGGUGCGAGCGGGCAGCCCUGCUCUGCCGCAUGCGCCGCCGGUGGCAGCUCCGGCGCCGCGCCAAGUGCCGGGGGCAAGGCGGGCGGUGUUGAAGCCAAAGGGCUCCUUGCAUUAAGCCACGUCCAGGCUGAUGAGCAAAGGGACGGUGCAGCAGCGAGUCCCAGCCCCGCUGGGUCUCCUCCGUGGGGCUUCGACGCGAGGACAACCACCCUCUGGUGCACUUGCAUCAAUGCACACUGAGUCCGAGCAGGGAGAGCAGCUCAGAUGCGGUGCCUCAGCACAGAACAAGGGAGGGAUGGACACCCGCUCCUCGCCGCUGCGAAGGGCGAGCUGGAAGCCGGCACACGUUUUCCCUUGGCUCCUGUGCAGCCUCUCAGCCCCCUCUGCUUUUCGCUUCACCGCACGUUCUCUUCUGUUGCUCCCAAAUAAAACCAGAGAGCACAAAACCCCAG